rnacentral:rRNA from 1 species
GAAUAUUGGACAAUGGGGGCAACCCUGAUCCAGCAAUGCCGCGUGAGUGAUGAAGGCCUUAGGGUUGUAAAGCUCUUUCGCCCGAGACGAUGAUGACGGUAUCGGGAGAAGAAGCCCCGGCUAAUUCCGUGCCAGCAGCCGCGGUAAUACGGAAGGGGCUAGCGUUGUUCGGAAUUACUGGGCGUAAAGCGCGCGCAGGCGGCUUGUCGAGUGAGGCGUGAAAGGCCUGGGCUCAACCCGGGAGCGGCGCUUCAGACUGGCGGGCUUGAGUUCGGGAGAGGGUGGUGGAAUUCCCAGUGUAGAGGUGAAAUUCGUAGAUAUUGGGAGGAACACCGGUGGCGAAGGCGGCCACCUGGCCCGCAACUGACGCUACAGCGCGAAAGCGUGGGGAGCAAACAGG